GAAGCCAAAGGGGGAAUUCCCUGACCCUCGAGUAGUUCUCCCUGCAGCCCUCAAACACCUAGGCAUGUGGAUCUUCGACCAUCUACAGGGGUGGGAGCAGGACUUAACCCAUUGGUGUAUGUGCUGCCUGAAGGAUGAAGGAAAUGGAAGCAGCAAUAUCUUGGGAUCAAAAACUAAGAAACAGGGUUCUAUAGUACCUUUAUCCUGCCAUAAAUAUAAAAGAAAAUAUAAAGAGAACGUGUUUGUAAUUAAUGUUACUAUAGUAUUUUUUAUCUGCAAUGUUUUAAUCUCCUAUUUCUGGGAGAGAUAAAGCGACUGUUAAUUAAGUGCCUAUGAUUUUCUAGUAGGGCACACUGAGUUGUUUUAGUGUGUGUAUAGUCUGUCCCCUAGUGCUGUAUCUCCCAGUUCCUGACAGCUUCCUUUAUUUCCUGUUACACCGAGCUAAGGCUCCCGCUCUUCUGUACCGCAUCAUUACCUAGAAAAUGUCUAUAUUUGGUCAACCCUAAUGAGCCUUUGACUGCCCUCCAGUAAACUGUACAAAGCCCCUCAGUACCCCCUUAUCCCAGAAUUUCGUGGGGCAUUUUAUAAGUAGCUAUCAAAUGAGGGUAUCAUUUGUUUUUAUCUA